rnacentral:rRNA from 1 species
GACGAACGCUGGCGGCGUGCCUAAUACAUGCAAGUCGAGCGGAGCGGCGGACGGGUGAGUAAUGCCUAGGAAUCUGCCUGGUAGUGGGGGAUAACGUCCGGAAACGGGCGCUAAUACCGCAUACUAUCAGAUGAGCCUAGGUCGGAUUAGCUAGUUGGUGGGGUAAAGGCCUACCAAGGCGACGAUCCGUAACUGGUCUGAGAGGAUGAUCAGUCACACUGGAACUGAGACACGGUCCAGACUCCUACGGGAGGCAGCAGUGGGGAAUAUUGCACAAUGGGCGCAAGCCUGAUGCAGCCAUGCCGCGUGUGUGAAGAAGGCCUUCGGGUUGUAAAGCACUUGCAGCGGGGAGGCGUUACCCGCAGAAUAAGCACCGGCUAACUACGUGCCAGCCGCCGCGGUAAUUC